rnacentral:rRNA from 1 species
AUACGAGGGGUGCAAGCGUUGUUCGGAAUUACUGGGCGUAAAGGGAGCGUAGGCGGAGAUUCAAGCGGAUUGUACAAUCCCGGGGCCCAACCCCGGCUCUGCAGUCCGAACUGGAUCUCUUGGAUAGUUCAGGGGCAGGCGGAAUUCCUGGUGUAGCGGUGGAAUGCGUAGAGAUCAGGAAGAACACCGAUGGCGAAGGCAGCCUGCUGGUGAAGUAUCGACGCUGAGGCUCGAAAGUGCGGGUAGCAAACAGGAUUAGAUACCCUGGUAGUCCGCACCGUAAACGAUGCAUACUGGGUGUCCGGGGGUUCCCCCGGGUACCGUAGCCAACGCGUUAAGUAUGCCGCCUGGGGAGUACGUACGCAAGUAUGAAACUCAAAUGAAUUGACGGGG